GGUAAAAACUCGUUUUUGGAUCUGAGUGCUUAGCGCCUUUUGCAGUUCGGCUGUUACUAGGCGCGGCACAUAAUCGCCAAUCGGUUGCCAUUGUUGCCUUAACUGGUGAUGGUGGUUAACUGUUGGCAAGUUUACUUUGAACAAAUCAGAGUGCUCAAUACGGGCGUUUCGCUUGUAUGGUCGUGCAUGGAAUAAUAGAAUAGGACCUUGGUUCUAUUUUGUUGGUUUUCGGAAUUGAGGUAAUGAUUAAGAGGGACAGACGGGGGCAUUCGUACUCCAGCGUGAGAGGUGAAAUUCUUGGAUCGUUGGAAGACGAACUACUGCGAAAGCAUUUUGCCAAGAAUGUUUUCAUUAAUCAAGAACGAAAGUAAUGGGUUCGAAGGCGAUCAGAUACCGCCCUAGUCAUUACCGUAAACGAUUGUAACUGGGAGCUAGCAGGCGUUUUCUAUGACUCUGCUAGAACCCACCCCGGAAACGAUAAGUUUUCGAUAUCCGGGGGAAGUAUACCUGCAAAUGCGAAACUUAAAGGAAUUGACGGAAGGGCACCACCAGGGGUGGGACUGCGGCUUAAUUUGACUCAACACGGGGAAACUCAUCCGGUCCGGACACCGUGAGGAUUGACAGAUUGAGAGCUCUUUCUUGAUUUGGUGGGCAGUGGUGCAUGGCCGUUCUUAGUUGGUGGAGUGAUUUGUCUGGUUUAUUCCGAUAACGAACGAGACUCUGGCCUACUAACUAGUUGCGCGAUUUUUCUGUCGUGCCAACUUCUUAGAGGGACAAGCGGUGCUCAGCCGCAUGAAAAAGAGCAAUAACAGGUCUGUGAUGCCCUUCGAUGUUCGGAGCCGCACGCGCGCUACACUGUGAGUGGCAGCAUGUUGGUUUGCCUCGCUCGCAAG
rnacentral:rRNA from 1 species